AGGAACCAGCAGAAGCUAGUUUGGUUUAAUUUCUCAAUCCAGUGUGGGAGUUGAGCAGGUAUGCUAGCUGAUGGUAGCAGGUCAUCAGUACUGUUCUUUUCCUAAUGAAAAGAAAGCCAGUAGUGACAAAAGGCUGCAACCAAGACUGGGAAUCCAUUGUGGUAGGCAAACACAGUAAGGGAGAUGCUCCCGAGAAGAGUUUUUAUAAUCUAAGUAGACACUGGAGACAAAGGAUGGGGGACAGAGGGAAGCCAGUAACUGAAUGGACUUGCAUCUAUCCUCUCUUCCAAGAGAGAGUACCUGCAGUGUCGGGCUGAGGCACCUUACUUGGUAGGAAAGUGUGAAGAAGCUGCCCUGCAUCUGCCCAUACUAUAUCUGUCCAUGGAGGUUGUCAUGCUCCGGCCUGUCAGUCCUGCACCUUUCCUGGGUAUGACAUUCUCAUGAAUGCUUCAACAAAAUUUGGAAAGCUGCUUGUCCAACCAUUGCAGUAGAGCAGGGCAAUAGUAAAGCAAUGCAACUGUGGAUCCUUGACGGAAGUAUUGACCACACAGAAAAGUGGUACUUCAUGCUGAUUUCAUUCGAGUCAAGCAGUGGCAUGUUCACAAGUGUGUAGUGGCACUUCAAGCCCACACAAAUUAAGAGGUUCCCUCGCUCAUAAUUUUCUCCAACAUUUUACGGGAAUAUGGGGGCUAAGUGGCUGCAGUAUGUUUCUGUCCAUCCAAUCAAUAAAUCUGUUUUGUAGGUGCAAUUAACUCAUCUUUAUGAGCUAAAGAUUCUGACAAGACUUGUCAAAUUUGGCAGAGGAGGUUUGAGUUAAGAUCUACUCAGAAUAAUUGUCUUUAGCACAGAC